rnacentral:rRNA from 1 species
UACGUAGGGGGCUAGCGUUGUCCGGAAUCAUUGGGCGUAAAGCGCGCGUAGGCGGCCCUGUAAGUCCGCUGUGAAAGUCAAAGGCUCAACCUUUGAAAGCCGGUGGAUACUGCAGGGCUAGAGUCCGGAAGAGGCGAGUGGAAUUCCUGGUGUAGCGGUGGAAUGUGCAGAUAUCAGGAGGAACACCAAUAGCGAAGGCAGCUCGCUGGGACGGUACUGACGCUAAGGCGCGAAAGCGUGGGGAGCAAACAGG